ACGAACGCUGGCGGCGUGCUUAACACAUGCAAGUCGAACGGAAAGGCCCUGCUUUUGUGGGGUGCUCGAGUGGCGAACGGGUGAGUAACACGUAAGUAACCUGCCCUUGACUUUGGGAUAACUUCAGGAAACUGGGGCUAAUACCGGAUAGGAGCUCCUGCUGCAUGGUGGGGGUUGGAAAGUUUCGGCGGUUGGGGAUGGACUCGCGGCUUAUCAGCUUGUUGGUGGGGUAGUGGCUUACCAAGGCUUUGACGGGUAGCCGGCCUGAGAGGGUGACCGGCCACAUUGGGACUGAGAUACGGCCCAGACUCCUACGGAAGGCAGCAGUGGGGAAUAUUGCACAAUGGGCGGAAGCCUGAUGCAGCAACGCCGCGUGCGGGAUGACGGCCUUCGGGUUGUAAACCGCUUUCGCCUGUGACGAAGCGUGAGUGACGGUAAUGGGUAAAGAAGCACCGGCUAACUACGUG
rnacentral:rRNA from 1 species